ensembl:lncRNA
GUGGGUGUGAUGCAAAGUCCCUAUUACUCAAGAAAAGACAACAGUCACAGCCAAGACACCCGGAGCCCUGCUCACUUUCUCAGGCUGGGGAAAACCUUCAAACCUUUCCUAAAGGGCCCAUUUCCUCCUCUCUCCAGUCUGGAGCCUGGGAGCCCCAUGCUCUGGAAUAACCCAGCUUCCUGUCUGCUAGAGUCUUGCCUUGUAAACAAAAGUUCUGGCUGGGGGAUGUCUUUUGAUGCCUGGCAACCUUUGACAGCCUCAGUCCCCACCCCCAGCCAGAGAGGAGGAAACUUACCCAUAGCAAGGAGUUAGUCUGUUGUUCAGUAGCUAAAUCAGUCCAACUCUUUAAGACCUCAUGGACUGCAAGGAGUCCAAAACGCAAAUUGUUGACUUCAGUGUGUUUUUCUGCUGCCUAGUCUGAGCACCGCAGUGGGGACAAACCCCUAAGGUACUGAACUAAACCAAAGGACGAGUAUAGGCCCUGAAAGGAGAGAUUAUAGAUGGACUGAGACUUCUGGACCUGCCUGGAGGGAAUUAAACCACUAUGGGAGUAAAUCAUCUCCCUUCCUGGCUGCCCCACCGACUACCCAGAGCUGAUUUUCCUCCCCCCAGGUUCGAAGACUUCUAAUGGUUCUCUACCACCUCAGGAUGAAGUCAUAGCAACAGCCAACUUCCUGGACCUUGUAAGGUAAGGCGGAUUCCUUACCAGCUGAGUCACCAAGGAAGCCCUUGUAAGUUUUCAGCAGGUUCAGUUUGAGAUAACAGUGUAUGGUGACUCUCAAACAUCUGGAACUGAGUUGAUGCUAAGACGUCGAUAAGGGAGUAAAAAUGCAUAGAAGAGCUGUAAAAGCUACCUGAGUGUGCCAGAUCACUUAAGGAGAGAAGUCACUCAGGGAGAGAGGUUGAAUGAGAAGAAGAGGAAGAGGAGGCUGGAACUGUGAGGUAAGUUUCUGGGCCAAGGAAGGGGCAGAGGUAGGAGCGAGAUGAGAUCCAGCAGAGGUGUUUUGGAAACCAAGAGGAAUGACUAUGUAUUUUGUGUCUUUCUUGCCUAGAAAAUCCCAUGGACGCAGGAGUCUGGUGGGCUGCAGUCCAUGGGGUCGCUAAGAGUCGGACACGACUGAGCGACUUCACUUUCACUUUUCACUUUCAUGCACUGGAGAAGGAAAUGGCAAUCCACUCCAGUGUUCUUGCCUGGAGAAUCCCAGGGACGGGGGAGCCUGGUGGGCUGCCGUCUAUGGGGUCGCACAGAGUCGGACACGACUGAAGCGACUUAGCAGCAAUUUACCGCUGUGUUCCUAGUAUUUUGCACC